AAAAAAACAAACUCUGGGUUUCCGUGUCCAACUUUGACUGUCCGUCUUAUAUAAAUUUUUUUUAUAAUUCGUAUUUUCAUUGUUGUUAGAUGAUAAAACAUAAUUAAUAUUUUAUACGUGACUUGUCUUUUUAAUUUUUUUCAUAAUUUUUUCAAAUAAGACGGACGAUCGAACGUUGAACACAGAAAUCAGGGUUUGUCUUUUU
rfam:Oryza barthii chromosome 5, whole genome shotgun sequence.